UGGGGAAUAUUGCACAAUGGGCGCAAGCCUGAUGCAGCCAUGCCGCGUGUAUGAAGAAGGCCUUCGGGUUGUAAAGUACUUUCAGCGGGGAGGAAGGCGAUAAGGUUAAUAACCUUGUCGAUUGACGUUACCCGCAGAAGAAGCACCGGCUAACUCCGUGCCAGCAGCCGCGGUAAUACGGAGGGUGCAAGCGUUAAUCGGAAUUACUGGGCGUAAAGCGCACGCAGGCGGUCUGUCAAGUCGGAUGUGAAAUCCCCGGGCUCAACCUGGGAACUGCAUUCGAAACUGGCAGGCUAGAGUCUUGUAGAGGGGGGUAGAAUUCCAGGUGUAGCGGUGAAAUGCGUAGAGAUCUGGAGGAAUACGGUGGCGAAGGCGGCCCCCUGGACAAAGACUGACGCUCAGGUGCGAAAGCGUGGGGAGCAAACA
rnacentral:rRNA from 1 species